rnacentral:lncRNA from 1 species
UUUCAUUCCUUCAAUAGGCCGGCGGCCAGCUUUCAGCCCACUACGGCAUGACUCUCCCCGAUCCAAUAGCCCUGGUUUCUUUAAAUCAAAGCUUUAGCUUGAAAAGCUCUGAUAACAAUGGAGCUUAGCGCAAGGCGAUUCAGUGAGGACGUGGGCUUACGCCUGUUGCACAGUAGUCAGAUUUGCAAUUCACUAGUAUAUGAUGUUAGCUAAUGCCCGAUGGAUC